rnacentral:rRNA from 1 species
AGUGAACGCUGGCGGCAGGCCUAAUACAUGCAAGUCGAACGGCAGCACAGCAGAGCUUGCUCUGUGGGUGGCGAGUGGCGGACGGGUGAGGAAUACGUGGGAAUCUGCCCAGUCGUGGGGGAUAACGUAGGGAAACUUACGCUAAUACCGCAUGCGCCCUUCGGGGGGAAGCCGGGGAACGUCCGGCCUGGCGCGCUUGGCUGAGCCCACGCAGGAUUAGCUAGUUGGCGGGGUAAAGGCCCACGAAGGCGACGAUCCGUAGCUGGUCUGGGAGGAUGAUCAGUCACACUGGAACUGAGACACGGUCGAGACUCCUACGGGAGGCAGCAGUAGGGAAUAUUGGACAAUGGGCGCAAGCCUGAUCCAGCCAUGCCGAGUGAGUGAAGAAGGCCCUCGGGUUGUAAAGCUCUUUUGUCCGGAAAGAAAAGCGCCGGGUUAACACCCUGGUGUCCUGACGGUACCGGAAGAAUAAGCACCGGCUAACUUCGUGCCAGCAGCCGCCGCCGUAA